rnacentral:lncRNA from 1 species
GGUAGAACUUCUUGCUUUUUCUGACUUCAUUGCUGGAGCACCCGCAUCUACAGAUGCUACUUGUCUUGAUGAUUCACCUGAUGAUUUCAAACAUGAAGCAUCAAUAACAUUGAAAGUCAAAGAACCAACAGUAGCCUGAUCUACAAAGGUAGCAUUAUUUGGAUGUUUAUCUUUCCAGGGAAAACCACCAUUCUUACUACUAUCGCUGCAGUUUGAGGAUCGUCUUUAAUGGCAAUACCUGAUGAUUUCAAACAUGAAGCAUCAAUAACAUUGAAAGUCAAAGAACCAACAGUAGCCUGAUCUACAAAGGUGGCAUUAUUUGGAUGUUUAUCUUUCCAGGGAAAACCACCAUUCUUGCUACUAUCGCUGCAGUUUGAGGUUUCGUCUUUAAUGGCAAUACCACCAAUAUCAGCUGCAAGAUUCUUUUCCUCCACACCAUUUUGAUCAGUCGGUAACCC